UAGGGAAUCUUCGGCAAUGGGGGCAACCCUGACCGAGCAACGCCGCGUGAGUGAAGAAGGUUUUCGGAUCGUAAAGCUCUGUUGUAAGUCAAGAACGGGUGUGAGAGUGGAAAGUUCACACUGUGACGGUAGCUUACCAGAAAGGGACGGCUAACUACGUGCCAGCAGCCGCGGUAAUACGUAGGUCCCGAGCGUUGUCCGGAUUUAUUGGGCGUAAAGCGAGCGCAGGCGGUUUGAUAAGUCUGAAGUUAAAGGCUGUGGCUCAACCAUAGUUCGCUUUGGAAACUGUCAAACUUGAGUGCAGAAGGGGAGAGUGGAAUUCCAUGUGUAGCGGUGAAAUGCGUAGAUAUAUGGAGGAACACCGGUGGCGAAAGCGGCUCUCUGGUCUGUAACUGACGCUGAGGCUCGAAAGCGUGGGGAGCGGACAGGAUUAGAUACCCUGG
rnacentral:rRNA from 1 species